rnacentral:rRNA from 1 species
UGGGGAAUAUUGGACAAUGGGCGAAAGCCUGAUCCAGCCAUGCCGCGUGUGUGAAGAAGGUCUUCGGAUUGUAAAGCACUUUAAGUUGGGAGGAAGGGCAGUAAGCGAAUACCUUGCUGUUUUGACGUUACCGACAGAAUAAGCACCGGCUAACUCUGUGCCAGCAGCCGCGGUAAUACAGAGGGUGCAAGCGUUAAUCGGAAUUACUGGGCGUAAAGCGCGCGUAGGUGGUUCGUUAAGUUGAAUGUGGAAGCCCCGGGCUCAACCUGGGAACUGCAUCCAAAACUGGCGAGCUAGAGUAGGGCAGAGGGUGGUGGAAUUUCCUGUGUAGCGGUGAAAUGCGUAGAUAUAGGAAGGAACACCAGUGGCGAAGGCGACCACCUGGGCUCAUACUGACACUGAGGGGCGAAAGCGUGGGGAGCAAACAGG